rnacentral:rRNA from 1 species
UACGGAGGGUGCGAGCGUUGUUCGGAAUCACUGGGCGUAAAGCGCGUGUAGGCGGUCUGCUAAGUCUGAUGUGAAAGCCCGGGGCUCACCCCCGGAAGUGCAUUGGAAACUAACAGACUGGAGUCCCGGAGAGGAGGGAGGAAUUCCUGGUGGAGCGGUGAAAUGCGUAGAUAUCAGGAGGAACACCGGUGGCGAAGGCGCCCCUCUGGACGGUGACUGACGCUGAGACGCGAAAGCGUGGGGAGCAAACAGG